rnacentral:lncRNA from 1 species
UGUAUUUUGAGACGCUUCUACUAUGGUAAGUUUCCAUAUGGCCCCUUAAUUUCUGACAGGAAUAAUAAUAGAAUCUCAAUGUAGUUUGACUCUCCUUUUCUUGUCUCAAUUCUCUUUUAUGAUCAGUGAAGUUGGAUGCGUUUUCAUACGUUUAUUGGCCAUUCAUGUUUCACCUUUUGAGAAGUGUCCAUUUAUUUCGUCAACCCGUUUAUUGAUUGGGUUAUUUGGUUUCUUUCUGUCAAGCUUUUUGAGUUCAUUGUAUACUCUAGAUAUAUUCUGGAUUAGUUCUUUGUCAGAUACAGAGUUAGCAAAGAUUUUCUCCUAUUCUGUAGGCUGUCCCUUCACUUGAUUACCUGGUUUCCUUUGCAUACAAAGCUUUUUAAUUCUAUAAAAUCCAGUUUGCCUCUUGUUGCCUUAUUUUUUAAAUAACUGUGAUCCUGUCAAGAAAACCUUUGCCUGUGCCUCUAUCCCAAAGGGUUUUCCCCAUUUUUUUUCUCAAACACUUUCAGAGUUUCAAAUCUGUGUCAAGGUCGUUGGCCAUUUGGAGAUGAUUUGUGUACAGUGUGAGAGAUGGAAAUUCUGUUCAUUCAACGUGUGAAUCAGCAGCUUCCGGAGUAGCAUCUGUUGAAGAGACUGUCUUUUCUACAAUGUGUAUUUUUGACACAUGUAUCAUAAAGCACAUGAUGUAGCUGUGUGGUUUCCUGUCUGGGUCAUGUUCUACGGUGUGUUGCUCUACAUGUGAUGUGAUUGGAUCAUGUUGGUUUUGUCACUAUGACUAUGUAGUAUAACUUAUAUCAUUCACUGUCUUUAAUAAUUUCCAAAUACAUC